rnacentral:misc_RNA from 1 species
GAUGAAGAACGUAGCGAAUUGCGAUAAGUAAUGUGAAUUGCAGAAUUCAGUGAAUCAUCGAAUCUUUGAACGCACCUUGCGCCCUUUGGCCAUUCCGAAGGGCAUGCCUGUUUGAGUAUCAUGAACACCUCAACUCUUUAUGGUUUUCCAUGAUGAGCUUGGACUCUGGGGGUUUUGCUGGCUCACAGUCGGCUCCUCUAAAAUAAAUCAGCUUACCAGUGUUUGGUGGGUAUCAUGGGUGUGAUAACUAUCUACGCUUGUGGUUUUUCCACCAGGUAACCUUCAGCAGUGGAGGUUCGCUGGAGCUCAUAGACGUCUCUCCUCAGUGAGGACAGCCCUUUGAACGUUUGAACUCAAAUCAGGUAGGACUACCCGCUGAACUUAAGCAUAUCAAUAAGCGGAGGA